rnacentral:rRNA from 1 species
GUCUCCUGGAAACGGGUGGUAAUGCCGGAUGCUCCGACUCCUCGCAUGGGGUGUCGGGAAAGAUUACAUCGGUAUGGGAUGGGGUCGCGUCCUAUCAGGUAGUCGGCGGGGUAACGGCCCACCGAGCCUACGACGGGUAGCCGGCCUGAGAGGGCGACCGGCCACAUUGGGACUGAGAUACGGCCCAGACUCCUACGGGAGGCAGCAGUGGGGAAUAUUGCACAAUGGGCGCAAGCCUGAUGCAGCGACGCCGCGUGCGGGAUGACGGCCUUCGGGUUGUAAACCGCUUUUGAUCGGGAGCAAGCCUUCGGGUGAGUGUACCUUUCGAAUAAGCACCGGCUAACUACGUGCCAGCAGCCGCGGUAAUACGUAGGGUGCAAGCGUUAUCCGGAAUUAUUGGGCGUAAAGGGCUCGUAGGCGGUUCGUCGCGUCCGGUGUGAAAGUCCAUCGCUUAACGGUGGAUCUGCGCCGGGUACGGGCGGGCUGGAGUGCGGUAGGGGAGACUGGAAUUCCCGGUGUAACGGUGGAAUGUGUAGAUAUCGGGAAGAACACCAC